rnacentral:rRNA from 1 species
AGCGAACGCUGGCGGCAGGCCUAACACAUGCAAGUCGAGCGCCCAGCAAUGGGAGCGGCAGACGGGAGAGUAACACGUGGGAACAUGCCCUUCAGUACGGAACAACCAAGGGAAACUUUGGCUAAUACCGUAUACGCCCGUAAGGGGAAAGAUUUAUCGCUGAAGGAUUGGCCCGCGUCUGAUCAGCUAGUUGGUGGGGUAAUGGCCCACCAAGGCGACGAUCAGUAGCUGGUCUGAGAGGAUGAUCAGCCCCACUGGGACUGAGACACGGCCCAGACUCCUACGGGAGGCAGCAGUGGGGAAUAUUGGACAAUGGGCGCAAGCCUGAUCCAGCCAUGCCGCGUGAGUGAUGAAGGCCUUAGGGUUGUAAAGCUCUUUCGUCAGGGAAGAUAAUGACGGUACCUGAAGAAGAAGCCCCGGCUAACUUCGUGCCAGCCGCCGCCGUAAUAC